rnacentral:rRNA from 1 species
UGGCGGACGGGUGAGUAAUGUCUGGGAAACUGCCUGAUGGAGGGGGAUAACUACUGGAAACGGUAGCUAAUACCGCAUAACGUCGCAAGACCAAAGAGGGGGACCUUCGGGCUCUUGCCAUCGGAUGUGCCCAGAUGGGAUUAGCUAGUAGGUGGGGUAACGGCUCACCUAGGCGACGAUCCCUAGCUGGUCUGAGAGGAUGACCAGCCACACUGGAACUGAGACACGGUCCAG